rnacentral:rRNA from 1 species
UACGUAGGGUGCAAGCGUUAAUCGGAAUUACUGGGCGUAAAGCGUGCGCAGGCGGUUGUGCAAGACAGAUGUGAAAUCCCCGGGCUUAACCUGGGAACUGCAUUUGUGACUGCACGGCUAGAGUGCGGCAGAGGGGGAUGGAAUUCCGCGUGUAGCAGUGAAAUGCGUAGGUAUGCGGAGGAACACCGAUGGCGAAGGCAAUCCCCUGGGCCUGCACUGACGCUCAUGCACGAAAGCGUGGGGAGCAAACAGG